rnacentral:rRNA from 1 species
GUGAGGAAUAUUGGACAAUGGGCGCAAGCCUGAUCCAACCAUGCCGCGUGCAGGAAGACGCAUCUAUGGUGUGUAAACUGCUUUUGUACGGGAAGAAACACUCCCUCGUGAGGGAGCUUGACGGUACCGUAAGAAUAAGGAUCGGCUAACUCCGUGCCAGCAGCCGCGGUAAUACGGAGGAUCCAAGCGUUAUCCGGAAUCAUUGGGUUUAAAGGGUCCGUAGGCGGUUUAAUAAGUCAGUGGUGAAAGCCCAUCGCUCAACGAUGGAACGGCCAUUGAUACUGUUAGACUUGAAUUACAAGGAAGUAACUAGAAUAUGUAGUGUAGCGGUGAAAUGCUUAGAUAUUACAUGGAAUACCAAUUGCGAAGGCAGGUUACUACUUGUGGAUUGACGCUGAUGGACGAAAGCGUGGGGAGCGAACAGGAUUAGAAACCCGUGUAGUCC